GGGAGUGAAAUAGAACCUGAAACCCUGCACUUACAAGCUGUGGAAGCACAUUUCUUGUGUGACCGCGUACUUUUUGUAGAACGGGCCAACGAGUUACGUUAAGUAGCAAGGUUAAGCACUUAAGGUGCGGAGCCGUAGCGAAAGCGAGUUUUAACUGAGCGUUCAGUUACUUGACGUAGACCCGAAACCGGGCGACCUACCCAUGGGCAGGAUGAAGCGAAAGUAAAAUUUCGUGGAGGUCCGAACCCACGAGCGUUGAAAAGCUCGGGGAUGACUUGUGGGUAGCGGUGAAAUUCCAAUCGAGCCCGGAGAUAGCUGGUUCUCCCCGAAAUAGCUUUAGGGCUAGCCUCAAGGUGAGAGAUACGGAGGUAGAGCACUGAAUGUCCUAGGGGGUAUUGCACCUA
rnacentral:rRNA from 1 species